UGCACGUAUUUCCCUUCCAAAAAAAGAAGAACGGGAAAGGAGAUGUUAAAGGCAAGCAGAGAGAGGAAAACUGUUGCAAAACAAAAGCUGAGCUCCCGUCCGAGGGAGGCCUCCUCCAUUGGAGGCCUAGGAAAUCAUUCUGACAAAAUGGAGGAUCUCUGUCUUUGGUGUCGAUUCCCUCAGAGGUCAAGAGAAACCUUUUCCAAUGUCUUUAUCAGGAGGAGACUAGAAGUUAGAGAAAAGUAUCCUUUCGAGAGCGAGAGAAACAAAUUCUGAUUUUGCAUCAGCUUCCCUCCGAUCUGGAAACUCAUUGACUUGAUUCCAUUCUGUCGACGGAAAUAAUCCGGAACCAAUCUAUCCGUGAAAAUCUGGGCGGGACGCCGACCACAGCGUGGCUCGCCAAGCGGCGCCACGUCCGCACCCCGGAUCCGAACCGGCGAACCCCUGGCCGACAAAACGGAACGUGCGAACUUAACUGCUGUGCCGCCGGGCUGGCCCUUCGGGAAGUUCUUUUCAGGACACAGGCCAUAAACUAGAAUCACCGCUACAGGUUUAUCGGAGCGACAUCAGCGUUCGUGGUGGAUUGAGUCGUCCCCUCUGUCUCUCCCCUCCAGGGGACAACCAAACGGACGUCUAUCGACCCACCCACCAAGGAUUCCCCCCGCAUGGCACAGCAGGAUGCCUGAGAGAUCCACGCAGCCCUACAGCGGCAAGUCACAUUCGCACAGUCAAAAUUCAAUGGCAGAGACAAAACGUUAAGGUCAGCGAGAGGGAAGAGAAUAACCGGCCCAGGAGCAACGGUGUGAAGAACACGGAGAAGACGGGUCCUAGACGCCGGGGUCCCCGGAGCAGCGAUUUCAUCAGAGGCCCGCGAAUGUCCACGAUCUCCACAUCACGUUUAUGGCCGACUGCGUGUGUGGGUCCUUUGGAAUCGACCAGGCUACCAUCUGGGCCACUUUGGGACAUCGUGUCCAGCUGCCCCGAGCGGUGGAGCUGUCGUUCGAGU